AAGUUAUGUUGAGGUCAAUUUCGUAACAUUUCCUUAUAGUGCUCCCAUGCAUCAUAUAAUGACUCCCCAUCCUUUUAUUGGAAAGUUGGUGAUGUUCCUUUUCAACUU